GACGAACGCUGGCGGCGUGCUUAACACAUGCAAGUCGAACGGAAAGGCCCUGCUUUUGUGGGGUGCUCGAGUGGCGAACGGGUGAGUAACACGUGAGUAACCUGCCCUUGACUUUGGGAUAACUGCAGGAAACUGGGGCUAAUACCGGAUAGGAGCUCCUGCUGCAUGGUGGGGGUUGGAAAGUUUCGGCGGUUGGGGAUGGACUCGCGGCUUAUCAGCUUGUUGGUGGGGUAGUGGCUUACCAAGGCUUUGACGGGUAGCCGGCCUGAGAGGGUGACCGGCCACAUUGGGACUGAGAUACGGCCCAGAGUCCUACGGGAGGCAGCAGUGGGGAAUAUUGCACAAUGGGCGGAAGCCUGAUGCAGCAACGCCGCGUGCGGGAUGACGGCCUUCGGGUUGUAAACCGCUUUCGCCUGUGACGAAGCGUGAGUGACGGUAAUGGGUAAAGAAGCACCGGCUAACUACGUG
rnacentral:rRNA from 1 species